rnacentral:rRNA from 1 species
AGGAUUAACGCUGGCGGCGUGCCUAACACAUGCAAGUCGAACGAGGUAGCAAUACCUAGUGGCAGACGGGUGAGUAACGCGUGGUCAACCUACCGUUGAGCGGGGGAUAACUAGCCGAAAGGUUAGCUAAUACCGCAUACGUCUAGCACGGCAUCGUGCAAAGAUAAAAGCCGCAAGGCACUCGAUGACGGGACCGCGUCCCAUUAGUUAGUUGGUGGGGUAAUGGCCUACCAAGACUCCGAUGGGUAGCUGGUUUGAGAGAGCGACCAGCCACACUGGGACUGAGAAACGGCCCAGACUCCUACGGGAGGCAGCAGUGAGGAAUUUUCCGCAAUGGGCGAAAGCCUGACGGAGCGACGCCGCGUGUGGGAGAAGGCCUUCGGGUCGUAAACCACUGUCGAAGGGAAGAUAUUGACGGUACCCUUGGAGGAAGCCCCGGCUAACUACGUGCCAGCAGCCGC